AUGGGAGGGUGCACCACUGGGUUCCUGCUCUCUGCUCAGCUGUGCUGUUGUGAUGGGGCUGCAGGCUGGGACACACCAGCUCCGUGGGAACCUCAUCCUCCUGCCCAUGGCAGUGGUGAUGCUUCUCCACUGUGCGAGUGCAGGUCCAGGAAUGCCCACCGCCAGCUCGCGGAGCGUUCCUGUUGCAGGGUCCCCGCGGACUGCAGCCACCUCCCGCAAGACCAGCCCCAGCGGGGUGUACGUCAUCCAGCCGGCACGGUCCCCCCCGCGUGGUGUGGUGUGACAUGGACACCUGAAGGCAAGGGCUGGACUGUUGUCCAGAGAAACUCUCAUGACACGAAGAAUCGCGUGGAAGCAAUCCUGGACCACCUACCAAGUACGGCUUCGGGAACGUGCAGGGCGACCACUGGCUGGGCCGGUAUUCUGGUGAAGGGGACGACUAUCUGACCGGCUACUACCCCAAGAAGGAGGCCAUCCACGACACAUGAAGUUCAGCACGGUGGAUAAGGAUCAGGACCAGACAGCGGGAACUGCGCCAGCAGCUACGGGGGGUGGUGGUACGACAGGUGCCAGAAUGUUGUGCUCAAUGCCAAAAAGUACAUCCUCUGGCCAGGAUUCCUGUGAUAAAGGCGACUGCGCAUCAUCCCUCAUCCUGGUCAAACCCACUGAUGUGUGCUGACUGUGCCAGAGGUUGGGGAAGUGCCACUGUCCACAGCCGGUCCCCAUCCCUUUGCCUACCAGCCCUGUGCCAGCCCUCUGGGCACCCCAUGGCACCUGCAGCUCCCACCACAGACACCAGCUCCAACACUGUGGCUCUGGCACUCGGGAGCGGUCUCCUGGAGCCCCGGGCACAUGGGCAGCUUUGCCCAGUGCUGCUGUGUUGGCUGGCACCGGGACGCAGGCACUGCUUUGGGGUGGGUGAAGGGGAGAAGUACAAGUUCCCUUCUCCGUGCAAUCAGCAUCUCCCCGCUUCGCUCCUCAGUCCAUAAUUGCUACCCACACUGUGAGAAAUCAGCUAUAAUAAACCCCAGAGCCAGACUUUGCUGCCUCCUGUCUUCUUGCUGUAUCAAUAAUGUGAAUAAAUGGAGGAAGGACCACUCUGUCCCA
rnacentral:lncRNA from 7 species